CUCCCUUCGCCCUUGCUGUCCGGAGACGCCCGCCGCGGUCUUGGUGCACCCGGCGCCCCGCAUGGAUCGUUCGGGGGUGAUCCAGGAGGCGCUGGCCGCCGGGCAGACGUGCCUCGCUUUGGCCGAGAGAGGCGCCGGCGGACUGGAGCCGAUGCUGCGCUGCCUGGUGGGACCAGGCAGGGCGCGGCAGCUGCGGGCGGAGCCUGCGCGGCUGAUGUGGCGGGUGGGCGAGCGGAUCCUCCGAAGUCUCCCUUGAUUGUGCGCCGCAGGCCGUGCAAGGCACCCUGGUGGUGGAGCAGGCGAGCCAGUGGAGAGCCGGUUGCUGGGCCUGGUGGAGAGCGGCGGGAGAUGCCUGUGAACGACCGCCGCCGCGAAGGCCGAGGGAAGGGCACCCGAGCCGAGCCGGGGAAUCUUACUGGCACCAGUCAGCCGGAGACGCUGGGGAGGUGGCGGUGAAUUGACUUGAGGUGGUCUGGGGUGAUGCGGCUGUUUAGAAAGGCAGUCUCGGCUCGCCAGAGGAGACUUUGCUCGCUUGCCCAGCCGCCGCUUCGAAGCGAUUCCUGCAGGCUGCUCCUGGGUCAUUUGAGCCUUGCCUGAAGGGGCCUUUGACUCUGCCCAGGAGGGAGAGGCGGCCGCUGCCAGGCUGGAGCUGGGCCUUCCUUGGGGCCGAGGGCGAGGGGUUUCUGUGUGACGGGGCUCACUGGAGAUGAGCUCUCCUUGCUGUGCCUGCAGGAUCUGCCUCUACACCCACUGACGCAUGGCCAUUGCGCCGGAGGACCUGUGUCUGGAGCGGGUGCUGCGCCUGGAGGAGGGCUUUGCACUGGAAGAAGGUAAUCCUCGACUUACAACCACAAUUCAGCCCAGGAGUUGACUAUGUAGGAGUUGUACACCCGGUGUCUAUGAUGGCUUCCACUUUGCCUUGGACCCCCGUUUCUGGUACUACUAACUGGAGCCUAAGAGAAAAAGGGCGGACAGGCUUCCAGAUCAUUGGGUCAUCAUCCCCAAGGUUUCCGUCAUCCAUCUUUGACACUGAUGCCAUUGCGGUCAGGAUAUUUCUUCUGGGAUGAGAAGCCCUUGGAUUUACCCAAGGAAUUGUGGAUGAUGGUGGACCAUCUGUACCAUAAUGCUUGCCAAAAGAAGGACCUGUUCCAGCAACCUGGUCUUCGAGCUGAGUUUCCAGAGAUCCGUGACUGCCUGGACACAGGAAUGUUGGACACACUUGGUAUUCUUUGGGGAAGGCCUUUUCCUUUCACCCUUGCCCCUUAAAGCUGCUUCUGGCCCAUCGUCUAACAGACUCUUGAGAAUGUGCCAUUGGGGAGAGUCACACUGCAGCUUCAACCUGUCAGCUGCUCCAUCCCACCCCAAGAGGGACUUUUUGUCUCCUUAAAUGGCUUCUAUAUGGACAAAGCCAAUUUCCCCCAUACUGCCUUUUACUCCUGGAUAUUUGUUCAGCAAACUUGUUGGCCUACAGAUUACACCAGUCACUCUGCUUGGCUUUUCAGACCUAAGGCUAUCAUUGCCUUGUGUUGGGGACUUCAGAUGUAGGUGCUGUAUGACUGCAGUGUGGAGAGUGCCGGCAGCUACAGCCUGAGUAGUCAGGUAAGAGAACCCAGGGAGGAGCAGGAAUGUGCAUCCUGGGCAUCUCCAGGUCAGCAGUGUCUCUCCUCCUCUUUUCCAGAUAGGUUCCAUGCUCCCCGAGUGCCACAAAAGUGUCUUCAAUUGUCUGAUGGCAUUUCUAUGGGAACUGCUACGACAUUCUGAGAAAAACCACCUGGAUGGGCAUAUCCUUGUGAUUUAGAUGGUGAUGGAAAAGGAACUCAUCAACUUUGCAGAUAACACCAAGCUGGCAGGAUAGGCUCAAGAUCAAGACGGCUCUCAACAGAAUUGAACUUAUCAAACAAAAUGAAGUUCAAAGGUGAGAAAAGAAAGGUUUUAUACCUAGGCAGGAAGAACCAAAUGCAUAGAAUAGGUGGUACCUGGCUCAAUACCUGGUGGUACCUAGUAUUAAUGAGUCACCACUUAAAUAUGAGCCAGCAAUGUACUGCAGCAGCCAACAGAGAGAUUGUCAGGGUUCCAAGUAACACCCCCAACGCAAGGCUCAUAGUUCCUCAAAGGUCCAUUUUAUUAGAAAUGUCAUAUUGGCACAUCUGGGAAAACCCAAAUCUGAAAGCUUCCCAACUCCCUUUCCCUGCACCCACGUCCAUCACAUGGUCCAAUCAAUAAACUGUCCCAACUGGAGAUACCUCCCACACUACUCCAGGUGCAGGCCAAAUGUCCCUGGCCCUCAGAGAAAGGAAUGUUAUUAUGACUAUGCAAUCCCCCCUCCCAGUUUCCCACAGCACUAAGUGUGGCAGCCUGGAAGAUCCAAAAAAAAAGAUGGCCUCCAGGGCUGACAAGAUGACACGAAAUGCUAGUAGUACUUAAUACUGCACUGGUAAGACAACUUAAAAUACUGCAUCCAUUUCUGAUCACUAUGAUGCAAAAAAAAUAAAUAAAUGCUGACACCCUAGAAAGACUGCAGAGAAGAGCAAUAAAGGUGAUAAAGGAUCUGGAAGUUAAACAUAUGAUGAACUAUUCAGGAAUAUUUAGCCUAAGAAAGAGAAGGAUUAGAGUAAGGUGACCAGAUUUUCAGAUUGGUAAAG